UACGUAGGUGGCAAGCGUUGUCCGGAUUUAUUGGGUUUAAAGGGUGCGUAGGCGGCUUGAUAAGUCAGUGGUGAAAGCCGAUCGCUUAACGAUCGAACUGCCAUUGAUACUGCCAGGCUUGAGUAUAGUUGAGGUAGGCGGAAUUGACAGUGUAGCGGUGAAAUGCAUAGAUAUUGUCAAGAACACCAAUUGCGAAGGCAGCUUACUAAAGUAUAACUGACGCUGAGGCACGAAAGUGCGGGGAUCAAAC
rnacentral:rRNA from 1 species